rnacentral:lncRNA from 1 species
GACGACGAGGCCAAGGAGAGGCCUCUGAUUCUUCGUAACAAGGCUCCCAGGUGGCACGAACAGUUGCAGUGUUGGUGCCUAAAUUUCCGGGGGCGUGUGACUGUGGCCUCAGUCAAAAACUUCCAGCUCAUUGCUGCGAUACAACCAUCUGCAGGGGUUCCAACUCCAUCACAGUCAGUGCCACCAGAGCAUGACAAGGUCAUACUACAAUUUGGAAAGGUUGCAAAGGACAUGUUUACCAUGGAUUACCGGUACCCAUUGUCAGCCUUCCAGGCCUUUGCCAUCUGCUUGAGUAGCUUUGACACCAAAUUGGCUUGUGAAUAGAGAAUGGCUUGGAAGAAGAACCAAUAUCUGGUACCAGAUUCGGGGGCAAAAAUCUGCUCUUAA